UACAGAGGGGGCAAGCGUUAUUCGGAAUUAUUGGGCGUAAAGGGCGCGUAGGCGGCUUUGCAAGUGACGGGUGAAAUCCCUCGGCUUAACCGAGGAACUGCCUGUCAAACUGCAUGGCUUGAGACCGGGAGAGGUGAGUGGAAUUCCCAGUGUAGCGGUGAAAUGCGUAGAUAUUGGGAGGAACACCAGUGGCGAAGGCGGCUCACUGGACCGGUACUGACGCUGAUCUGCGAAAGCUAGGGGAGCAAACAGG
rnacentral:rRNA from 1 species